CCUANGGGCGGCAGCAGUGGGGAAUAUUGCACAAUGGGCGCAAGCCUGAUGCAGCAACGCCGCGUGAAUGAUGAAGGCCUUCGGGUCGUAAAGUUCUGUCCAAAGGGAAGAAAACAAUGACGGUACCUUUGGAGGAAGCCCCGGCUAACUACGUGCCAGCAGCCGCGGUAAUACGUAGGGGGCAAGCGUUAUCCGGAAUCAUUGGGCGUAAAGGGAGCGUAGGCGGCUUGACAAGCCAGAGGUGAAAGGCAAUAGCUUAACUAUUGUAAGCCUUUGGAACUGUCAGACUUGAGGGCAGGAGAGGAAAGUGGAAUUCCUAGUGUAGCGGUGAAAUGCGUAGAUAUUAGGAGGAACACCAGUGGCGAAGGCGACUUUCUGGACUGUAACUGACGCUGAGGCUCGAAAGCGUGGGGAGCGAACAGGAUUAGAUACCCCGNUANUC
rnacentral:rRNA from 1 species